GAUCCUAUUGUUUACCGAAGGCCUCCUGCUCUUUCAGGGAAUUCCCAUGACCUUACAGGACUCCUCUCAGGAAAGAGAGAAGUUAGAUAUUGUUCCUCUCUGCAGUUGAGGAAACACCAAAGUUCUGUGACCAUAUCGUGACUGGAACAGAGUGGUUUUUCUGACUCAUGAUGCAGUCUAGGGCCAAAUCAGUCCAGAAGGUAGCAGCCCCUGUAAUAGAAAAACAAUCCUCUUCCCUAGGCCGCUGGCGUCAGCAGGCCUGGGCAGGAGUGAAUACCGAGAACCCAACUCCCUGCGGGCCCCUGGAACAGCUGCUUGUCCUUGGUUGGCCUCCGCCAUUCACUCUCCUCUUGGCCUCAUUUGUGUUCUCUGUGUCUUUUGUGUCCUUUCCAGGGACCAACUUCAUGUUGUGGAGUUAUUCAAGGGCUGGGUACGUGUCCCAGUCACUAACAUUACCCAAUGACUGGCACUCUUCCAGGCAUGUAGAAGGCACUUGCACUUUGUAAAUGCACAGUUAAUGCUCUGCUCUAGGAAAUGAGCCAUCAUUGCAUGCUUCUUAGCGAACCGGAAGGGUUCCACUCAUGUCACAAUGGUGACACAGUCAGAGCUGGUCAUUAGCAAUCCUCCACCUAUUUCUGAACCCAUUCCUGCCUAAAAUUUAAUUUAAGUUUUAAAUUUAAAUUAAUAACAUUAAAUUAAAUUAAAAACAAAACAGGAACUUACUUGCAUACUUAUUGUGUGCCCAAGCAUUGUGCUAAGCACAACUGCUGCUGAGUUGUCUGUAGGCCUUGGCACAUAGUAUCUGCUUGCCUAGAAACUUAUUUCUAUCCAGCCUUCUUUCCUCCUAACUUGUACUUCUCUUUCAGGACCCAGGGGUCAUCUUCUCCUUCUCUAGGCAAAAUGAAGAUCCCUUGACAGAUGGUCUGAUAGUCUGAAAAUGAUGGGAGGAUAGGAACCAUUCAUUGCUGUGGCUUCAGUACCAAAUUGUGAAUUGGACUCUUACAAUGUGCCGUGCACUAAGACAAGUACCUCAUAGAUGUGAUUGCAAUCUUAAGUGACCCAAAAGGAUUUACAGCAGAAGCACUCUUGCCUGUUCUUCACAAAACUGGAUCAUUCAAAAAAUACCACUCAUUUCCUCUAACCCACAGACCAGUGUGCAUGACACACUUUUAAAAUAAAAGUUUUAGUAUUAUUUAGGUUUGGCAGGGCCAACAGAUCAGGAGACAAUUGCCAUAGAAAAGAUGGUUUAUUAUAUUCAUAGAGCCCAAGAGGAGGGACAUACCACACCAUGAGAGGCCGCGCAGGGAAACAUCAGGGUCAAGGCGCAGGGGAAACAUGGGCACGGGGCUUUAUUGUGGUUUUUGCAGGAAGGAAUAGGUGAGGCAGAGUAGGCAGGCUUAGGAUUGGCUAGGUUGAAUAAUUUCAGCAAGCUCUAGGGCAUAGGGGUUGUCCCUAGUUGUCUGGUACCUAAUCCUGGGUGAUUAGGGAAAGGGAGUAGUGGUCCUUAGUGCAAGAAUUCAGUGGAGGAGGUUGUGCAGUGUAGGCUCUGGAUUGGUUGGUUUGCAUAUGAAAGGCUUCUCUCAGGAGAGUCCUUAACUAGCUCUAGGAAUUGGUUAGCCCUGGCAGGGGCAGUCUCUCCAGGAUUAGCAAGACCCAGAUGUUAAAGCAUCAAUAAACAGAAAAUAAAAAGGGGUGAUUAAUGCAUACACUAAUUGCUUAGGGCUUGUAGACUACUGAGUCCUGUAGACACCUGGGUGGCUCAGCUCCACCCAGAGAGGCGAUGCUCACCUGAGUCCACCGUGUUCUAUGCAUUCUCCAACCUACUUGUGCCCAACAGUACUGGUUACUAUGAUUAUAAUAAGUUUGUUGAAUAUUAUGUAAACCAGUGAAACAUGAAUGCCAAAGGGGUGUUCAGAAGUGCUGUUGGUAAAACUGGAUGUCCACAUACAAAAGAAUGAAGCUGGACCCUUACCUUACACCAUCUACAGAAAUUAACUCAAAAUGAAUUAAAGACCUAAACAUAAGACUUAAAACUAUAAACUCCUAGAAGAGAACAUAGGAGGAAAGCUGUAAUACUUUGGAUUUGCCAAUAAUAUCUUGGGUGUGACACCAAAAGCUCAAGCAACAAAAUAAAAAAAAAAAUAGACAAAUGGGACUACACAAACUUAAUUUCUGCAUGUCAAAGGAGAAAAACUAACAGAGUGAAAAGACAACCUUCAAAAUGGAAGAACAUAUUUAAAAAUCAUGUAUCUGAUAAGGGGCUAAUAUCCAGAAUAUAUAAGUAACUUAGCUGUACAAUAAAAAGUAACCUGAUUUUAAAAUGGGCAAAGCAUAAAAAGGAAUGAAAUAAUGGCAUUUGCAGCAACCUGGAUGGAAUUGGAGACCAUUAUUCUGAGAGAAGGGACUCGAAUGGAAAACCAAACAUCGUACGUUCUCACUCAUAAGUGGGAGCUAAGCUACGAGGACACAAAGGCAUAAGAAGGAUACAAUGGACUUUGGGGACUCUGGGGAAAGGGUAGGAAUGAGGUGAGGGAUAAAAGACUGCACAUUGGGUACAGUGUCCACUGCUAAGGUGAUGGGUGCACCAAAAUCUCAGAAAUCACCACUAGAGAACUAUUCAUGUAACCAAACACCACCUGUUCCCCACAAACCUGUAAAAAUUUAAAACAAAAUGGGCAAAGGACUUGAAUAAACAACUCUCCAAAGAAGAUAUACAAGUGGAAAGGUCAGCAUCGCUAAUCAUAGGAGAAGCACUGAUCAAAACCACAAUGAGAUAUCAAUUGGCAUGCAUUAGGGUAACCACUAUGAAAAGAAUAGGAAAUAACAAGUGUUACUGAGAAUGUGGAGAAAUUAGAACUCUUGUGCUCUGUUGGUGGAGAUGUAAGAUGGUGCCGCUGCAAAGGAGAGCAGCAUGGAGGUUCCUCAAAAAACGAAAUAGAAUUACCAAAUGAUCCAGCAGUUCCGCUUCUGGGUAUAUAUCCAAAAGAAUUCAAAGCAGUAUCUCAAAGAGGUAUCUGCAUACCUAUAUUCAUCACAACAGUAUUCUCAGUAGCCAAGAGGUAGAGGUAACCGACCUUUUGUUGAUGGCAACAGAUGAAUAGAUAAAGAAACUGUGGUAUGUACUUACAAUGGAAUAUCAUGCAGCCUUUAACAAGGAAAUCCUGUCAUACAUUACAGUGUGGAUGAACCUUGAGGACAUAAGUGAAAUAAGCCAGUCACAAGGACAAAUAUGUAUGAUUCCACUCAUAUAAAGUAUCACAGAAGGUAGAAAAGUAAGGUUGCCAAGAGCUGGCGGGGAAGGGAAAUUAGUGUAUACUGGGUAUAGAGUUGCAAGAUGAAAAAGUUAUGGAGAUCUAUUGCCCAACAAUGUGAAUAUAGUUUCUAAACUGUACAUUUAAAAUGGUUAAGAUGGUAAGUUUAAUGUUAUGCUUUUUACCACAAUUUUAAAAAGUAAGAGGUAUCAAUAAAAACAGGAAUUCUCUGGAAAAAACUCAUAAAAGCAAAUUGCUUUUUUUUAAAAAAAAUGCUAUCAAUUUAGGUAUGGGCAAAAUAACUGUAAAAGAUUGAGUGGGGUGGGGAGGAUAACAGAAACAUGGGAGGACUCUACACUCCAUUGGCUUCACAAAUGCUUAAGUUCUUACUCCAUUUUAAAAAAAUCAAACCUGAAAUUUGUAAAGAAGAUAUUAUAGGUUUGGUUUAUGCAAGAAAGUGGCAAGAGACUCCAGGCAGCAGACCCAUAUUCAACAGGAAGGCUUGGGCCUGUGUCAAGAGAUUGGUGAAUGAAUGUGCAUAUAUAUGUUGAGGUAGAAAUAAAAUGUCUAAGAUCCAUGGAAGUCUUUUUAUGAUUCCCAUGUUUACCUGACAUGUUCUCUUAAUUGAUCAACUAACAGCCCAAAUUGUGUCAGAUAAGAAAGUUUCUAUUGUUAUUGUUACCAUUUUUAUAAAUGAAGAAAUUGAGACAUAAAGAAGUCAAGUGAUUUGCUCAAGAUUUGAACCCAAAUCUUUCUGACUCCACAGUCUAUGCAUGUUCUAAAUCAUUACACCAGCCUCAGAUGAGUAAGAACUAGCCCCUUCCUUUAUGAAAUUCAUGGUCUUACAAGAUAGGGAGGUGUAUAAAUGAUUCAUUUUAUUACUAUAUAAUAAGUAAACUUAUAGAAAUUCACUGACAUAGCAUAAACCUUUCUUUGGAUUUCUAUCCAAAAUGUUAAGAAAGUUUUCACAUAGGAGAUGCAAACCCAAAUUUUAAAAUUUUUAAAUGAAUAGGCAUUUACCAGGUAGUAAUGGGACAAGAUUCUAAGCAAAGGGGAUAGCAUUUGCAAAAGAAAGAAACAACGGUAAGGUACAUUCAGAGAAAUAUAAGUGAUUCUGUAUUCCUGAAGGUUGAAAGUUAAAGGAUAGGGUGGUGAGAGUGUUCCCCAGGGUCAGCUCACAGGGAUCAUGUCAAGAAGUUUGGACCUGAUCCUCUAGAAAUGUUUUGGAACCACUGAAAGAAAAAUUUGGAAAGUUAAUGGCUGUGUUUGUAUUUUAGAUCACUCUUGUCAGCCGAGUAGCAGGGAGAGACAAAGCUGGAAGACCAAAGGGGCUGCAUUAGUCCAGAUGAAAACUCAAGGCUCUCAAUUGUGAUGGCAACGGGUAGAAUUAAUUCAUUAAAGAUUUUAAGGAGAACUGAUAGGAUUUCAUAACUGGAUGUGAAGCAUGGAGGCCAGCCAUGGGUCUGGGUUGAUACUGGUGCAUUCAACCAUGAUGGACAAUACCAGUGAAAACAGAAAACAAUGAUUUCAGCUUUAGACUCAAGUUUGAGUUUCCUGAGGAACCUUCAAGUGGAGAUACUCAACACCAGCUAGAUGGUCUGGAGCUUAAGGGAGAACUUGGGGUUGGAGAUCUAUUUGAGAUUGUCAGUAUAGAGAUGGGGAAUGAGAUGCAGCAGGGUGAGAAAAGAAGGGCUGAAGACAGAACCUUGGAGAAGACUGUAAUUUCAAGUGGCCUGGAGAAGAGAAACCAGUGAGAAGCAGACUGAGAAAGAACUUCCAAAGGGGUAAGGGAAAGUCCUGGAGAGAAUGGUGUCAGAGGAGGAAGGAAAGAAUUGCAAGCAAGUUUGUCAAUGGCCAGCCACACCUGAUGCCACAGAAAGACCAGGUCAAGUGAGCAGUGUUCACUGUUGUGACCCAGGAAGUCUAUGUGGAUCCGUGCCCAGAUUUCAGUGGACCAAAGUGGCAGUGAGAAUUAGGAAAUCAAACAGAAUGCAGAACACCAGGAAACUGUCAGAAGUUUGAAGAUGGGAGGGAAAAGGAGGUGAUUUGGAACUAGAGUAAAAAUUGGCUAUUUAGUAGGAUAGGAGACACUUGAGCUUCUUUAUGGACUGAGUAAGCAAUGGAUGGGUGUCUGGCCCCAAGGAGGUAAGAGGGAUCUAGGGUCUAGGUAAAGGGAGCUUCCUGUCUCCUCUCCUCCUUUCUGCCUCUCUUUAAGGCCUAUUCUGAUCCCUCCCCUAAACUUUUUUUUAAUCAUAGCUUGUUGUCAACUGACCCUCCAUAGGAAAUUUAAGGAAUUAAUAGCCCUUCCCAAGGAAGUGUUCGCUUAGAAAACAGGAGAUGGCCUAGGAUCCCAUCUGUUUCUCUUUCUCCUCUUUUGCCAGGAAGCUAAACUCACCCUAUUUUGCACCCCAUGCUUCUUUGCCUCCUCCAUAGAAACCUAGUUCAUGCUUUCCUCACAGGUAGGAAGAGUUGUCACCCACCUUGAAAACCUCUUCAGCAUUGGUUAACUCAUCAGCUCCUGGUGAAGCUGGGCCAGUGGGAAGGAAGAGCAAAAAGGCCGGGGAGUUGGGACCUGGACUUCAUCCUCCAUCACUGGGGCCAAGUCACAGCUGGGCCUAUGCAAGGCCUCAGUUUCUUCGUUUGUUAUAUGAGGGAGUUGACUGAGAUCACUGUGGUCCCUUCUUGUAGUGUGACUGCUUGGUGUUAUACACAUGCAGAGGUGAGGCUCAACUUCAGGGCCUCCCUCACCUGGGCAAGUCCAGGCCCUGUGGAACAGUAAUCAAUAUGACCUGACUUCAAAGAGCUCAAGUGGGGAAAGGGGUGAAAUAAUGAUCAGCCUCCUGCUGACCCCUUAGGGUUUUUUGACCCUCCUCCAGCCAUUUGCUAUCGUACACUCUGCCUCCUGUAAAUCAUGAGUAGCUAGCUAGAAGGUUUGUUAGAGCUCUGAACCAAAAGUGAGAAGGCAGCCUUAGAAUCCCGCCGUUUUCUAGCCAUGAUAUUGAUAUACUCUGAGUCUGUUUUCUCAUUUGUAAAAUGGGAUUAGUAAUACCUACCACAUAGUGAUAUGAGGUAUUCUAUAAGACUGUAUAUGUAAAGUGCCUUGCACAGAGCCUGAUAUGUAAAAGGUCCCUAUUUAAAUAUUUCUUGGGCCUGAGUGCUUAUGAUCAGAGGCCAUAAUACCUGCAAUUUCUGUGGUUCUGUGGAACUAAUAUUGGAGCAUAUCAACCUGAAAAAAAGAACUUUUUAUUAAUCUUCCAGGAACUAGAACAGAAUUUUUCCUUUAGUACAUUCCUGGUUUCUUCAUCCAGUACUCUCUCCCCCGAUCUGAAUCAGGAACUACAUUUUUUCAUUCCUUUCAAAUGAUACAAUUGCAAUGCAACAAUUCCCAAGGUAAAAGAAUAACUGUCUUGCUGGCUCUAUUUUUUCUUUUCUUCUUCUUUUUUUUUUUUUUUUCUUGACAACAGAGAGCUUCUUUCUCCCCCCCAGAAAAGAGGCAACAUCACCCUGUCAAUGUUAAAUUCUGGCAGAAAUGAAGCCACUAAAAUGGAAAGAGAAAAAAUAUUUUGGCAACAGCCAGGAAUGAGAAAUCGCAUAGCAUUUACCGGGUUAUAUAUAUUCUGUGGAUACAGGAUACUCUCUAUUAUUGGCAAUGAUUGUCUCUGUGGUCAAUGCUUAUUUCUAAAAUAAUUCUCUUUUCAGUGCACAUGGCAGAUGGAUUGCAUUGAUGGCCUCAGUUUGUUUGUGUUAAUCUCUCCCUUUGCUCUAUCACUUUGCAGUUCCCCUCCAUAAAGAGGCAGAGUAUAUAUUAACCCAUCUCUUGGCCUUUGGACUUUCUUGCUUUGGCCCAUGGGAUGGUAGUGGUCAUGAUGUAAGUAGAAGCUUUAAAAAAUGCUGUUGUAUUUCCACUAGUUCUUUUGGACCCCUGACAUUACCAUGAAAAUGUGCCAGUCCAGCCUGCCAGAGAGAUGUGAGAGACAUGUGGAAGAGAACUGAGUCAUCCAAGCCAAGGCCAUCCUAGACCAUCCAGCUCCUGUCAGCAGGACACAGCCCCAUUAACAGAGCCACCCAGCUGACCCAUAGGCUUGUCAACAGAAAUAAAUGUUUGCUGUUGCAAACCACCAAAGUUUUCUGAUUGUUACACAGCAGUAACUACUCCAUUCACCACAUUUGCUUAAAGUGUUGGUGCCUGGGGGUGACCCCCAACUUCUGCAACUAAAAUGGUGAAUAAAUUCCUGUAACUUGAGCCUCACUGAUUUUAUAGUUAGCAGCCUGGAGAGUUUGUUCGAAAUCUCCAUCCUAGGCAGACUGCCCUUUAAUUGUUCCCUAAAUACAAUCUGCACAUCCCUGCCUCUGCCUCUGUACAUUGUAUUUGUCCACACUGAAAUGUCCUUCCUUCUCCUUCCUGUCCAUUUGCAUCAUACCAGAUGUCCAAGGACCAACUUUAAAACCAGGCUUUUCUGAAUGACCUACUGUGACUGUUCCCUGCCUUUUCAGCCUAUUAAUUCAGGUUAUUUCUUGCCUGAGCUAUAGAUCGGAUACCAGACCCAUGUUUGCCAUAUAUGGCUGCUGUUUUUUUAUCUCAGCUGUUUAUUAAACUAGAUCCCAAGUUCCUGGAGGGCAGGGCCCUCUUACACCUCUUUUAUCCCCCAAGCCUUGCAUAGUAUCUUGAAAAGGGAAGUACAGGACCUUUCACUUAAGACUUUGAUAUUUGUAGUUUGACCAUCACUGGGGGGCUAAUUGUUAGGUAUCAUUGCUAAUGAAUAAAACCAGAGAAUGGAUGAGUGAAUGGAGGGAUGGAUGGAUGUAUGGAUGGAUAGAUGGAUGGAUGGAUAGAUAGAUAGAUAGAUAGAUAGAUAGAUAGAUAGAUAGAUAAAGUUAGAUGCUUCCAGACCUGAAUUUGUAGAAUGUACCCCAUUCUACUAUAAUUCUCACUAGGAAAAUAAAUUUUACUUUAAAAUGCCACCUUUCCCCUGAAGAUUUUACUGACCUCCCAUUCAUUCUCUCCAGAUUAGACAUGCCCUCUUCCUUCCCUGAUAUCCCUAUGUGACAGUCAAGUUCUUACCUGCUCACCUCCACCAUGCCACAUGGCACAAGCAGCAGCUCCUUCAGAUCAAAGGCUGUAGCUUAAUUAUGUCCUUAAUGGAUGUCCAGCACAUGGUAGGGUGCUUACUGCACAGGGAGUACUCAGUAACUAUUUGAUUAUUUUAUCUAUCCCGCCUCUGUCUUUGUUUAUUUAUUUAUUUAUUUACUUAUUUAUCUAUUUUGAGAUGGAGUCUCGCCCUGUUGCCCAGGCUGGAGUGCAGUGGCGUGAUCUUGGCUCACUGCAAGCUCUGCCUCCUGGGUUCAUGCCAUUCUCCUGCCUCAGUCCCUCCCGAGUAGCUGGGACUACAGGCCCCCGCCACCACACCCAGCUAAUUUUUUGUAUUUUUAGUAGAGACAGGGCUUCACCGUGUUAGCCAGGAUGGUCUCGAUCUCCUGACUUCGUGAUCCGCCUGCUUCUGCCACCCAAAGUGCUGGGAUUACAGGCAUGAGCCACUGCGCCCGGCCUCUGUCUUUAUUUUAAAUGCCCUACUUCAGGCCCUUAUGAUUGCUCAUAGAGACAACUACAAAAACCUUGUAACUGACCUUGCUUCUAGCCUUGUCUCCCUUCUUCACCUUUCAACCUAUUAGCAAUGCACACAUACGGAAUUCAACUUAAAAGGAAAAAAGGAAAAUCCAACCAGGUUAUACUACCACUAAAAAUCUUAAUAGUUUCCCUCUUCUUCGAGGUAUUAAUAAAAGCCAAGCUCUUAGGCUUGGCACACGAAGCCCACUAAGAUCUGCCCAUCCUACCUGUAUAGAUCCUUCUUUCACAACAGCCUCAAACUUUAUUCCAACAAGAUAGUACAGCCUGAGUGUUACUAUUCGUGCCACACAGUUUCUUCCCAACUGUACCUUGGCCCCCUGCCUCUCUAGAUGACUCAUUGACUCACCUGGCCCAGCCCAAUCCAUCUUGACCUUCCCUCCUGCCUACCAAUUUUCCCCACCCCCUAUAUGUGCCCCACUGAUUGUUGACACAUUGCAUUGUGAUUAUCUGAUUUAAGUGGAAGCUUCCUGAGAACUCUAGCACUAGCGUAGUAUUAAAUUAGCCUAGGUUCAGGGCCAACUGUUGCAUUUAGACACUCCUCUGCCAUCCUUGGUACCUGGGUUCACAUCGGUGUAACUGCCCAUUAGCGUAACUGCCCAACUUGUUUCUCCUUGCCUGCUGCCCAGAUAGAACAGAUUUAUCAAGACAGGAGAAUUGCAAUAGAGAAAGAGUUUAAUUUACACAGAACCAGCUAAAUGGGAAACCAGAGUUUCAUUACUCAAAUCAGUCUCCCCGAAAAUUCAGAGACUGGAGUUAUUAAGGAUAAUUUGGCAGGCCAGGGAGUGGGGAGUGCUGAUUGGUCAGAUAGGAGAUGAAAUCACAGGGGAUUGAAGGGGGUUCUUGCAGUCUUCCGUUCCUGAGUGGGAUCAAAGAACUGGUGGAGCCAGAUCACCAGCCUGGAUGGUGUCAGCUGGUGCAUCAGAAUGCAGGGUCUGAAAAAUACCUUGAGCACCAAUUUAGGUUUUACAAUAGUGAUGUUAUCCCUAGGAACAAUUGGGGAGGUUGGAAUUGUGUGGCCUCUGGCUGCAUGACUCCUAAACCAUAAUUUCUAAUCUUGUGGCUAAUUUGUUAGUCUUACUGAGGAAGUCUGCUCCCCAGGCAAGAAGGGGGUUUGUUUCCAGAAAGGGCUGUUAUCCUCUUUGUUUCAAAAUUAAACUGUAAGCUAAAUUCCUCCCAAAGUUAGUUUGGCCUACAACCAGGAAUUAACAAGGGCAGCUUGGAAGUUAGAAGCAAGAUGGAGAUGGUUAGGUCAGAUCCCUUUCACCGUCAUAACUUUCUCACUGUUACAAUUUUGCAAAAUUUCUCACUGUUACAAAUUUUGCAGCUUCAUAGGGCAGAUGAAGAUUUACUAAAAUGUCUCAUGAUGGUGAUGAUGGUAGCUAAUAUUCAUUGAGCACUUACUAUGUACCAGAUAUUCUAAGUGCUUUAAAUAAAUUAGCUUGAAACUAUCAUUCUCAGCAAACUGUCUCAAGAACAAAAAACUAAACACUGCAUGUUCUCACUCAUAGUGGGAAUUGAACAGUGAGAACACUUGGACACAGAAAGGGGAACAUCACACACCGGGGCCUGUCGUAGGGUGGGGGGACGGGGGAGGGAAAGCAUUAGGAGAUAUACCUAAUGUAAAUGACGAGUUAAUGGGUGCAGCACACCAACAUGACACAUGUAUACAUAUGUAACAAACUUGCACGUUGUGCACAUGUACCCUAGAACUUAAAGUAUAAUAACAAUAAUAAAAAAGUAAAAUACAAAAAAAAGAAAUAAAAAAUAAAAAUUAGCUCAUUUGGCAUUCACAGUAAUCUUAUAGGGUACCUACUAUUAGUAUCCUCAUUUUAGCAAUGAGGGUUAGGAAAUGUUAAUUAAGUUUUCUAAGACUGCACAGUUACUAAAACUAGAAUCUGCAUGCAAACCCAGGCCGCCUGACUCUAGAGCCUGUAACCUUCAGCACCACCUCAUGUCGUCCCACGUUCAUGUUUUUCAGCGGAAUUCUCCCAUUUCUCAGUCAUUUCCUCUCCCAAGAGAGGAGGAGAAGGAAGGGCCAAGAAGACAACAUUGCUGGUGGCUUUUUUAUUUAUUCAGUUUACCUAAAUUCUCUCACCAUUACCAAAUGACACAUACUGUGAGCCAGGUUGAGGCCCAUCUUCUCUUGGUUUUAUCGAUAUCUGUUUCCUUAACCACAAAGAUAACUUUUUUACUCCCAAAUUUGAGUGAUUAGUAAAGAGCUACAUAAUGUAACCAGUUUUGCUUUUCACAAGACAUCUCUGUUUCUCAGUGGGCUGAAAACCACACUUUUGCUUCCUCUUUACUUUGCAGUGAGAGCACAGCAUUUGUCACUCACCCUCUGAAUGUUAGUGACACUAUUGGGACGGGAAAGGACUAUGCUGGCCCAAAUGGCAGGCAUCUCAUAUGUGGCAUCUUUCUUUCUCUUUCUGACUAAGCUCAGCAUUGGCCAGAGAGAAGUAACAGUUCAGAAAGGACCACUGUUCAGAGCUGAAGGUUACCCAGUCAGCAUUGGCUGCAAUGUAACUGGCCAUCAGGGACCUUCUGAGCAGCAUUUCCAGUGGUCUAUUUACCUGCCAACAAACCCGACCCAGGAAGUCCAGAUCAUUAGCACCAAGGAUGCUGCCUUCUCUUACGCAGUAUAUAUGCAGCGGGUGCGAAGCGGAGACAUCUACGUGGAGAGGGUCCAGGGCAACUCAGUCUUGUUGCACAUCUCAAAGCUCCAGAUGAAGGAUGCUGGCGAGUACGAGUGUCACACACCAAACACUGAUGAGAAAUACUAUGGGAGUUACAGUGCAAAGACUAAUCUAAUUGUUAUUCCAGAUACCCUCUCUGCCACCAUGAGUUCUCAGACUCUCGGUAAGGAGGAAGGUGAGCCAUUAGCCCUCACCUGUGAGGCAUCCAAAGCCACAGCCCAACAUACUCACCUCUCUGUCACCUGGUACCUAACACAGGAUGGAGGAGGAAACCAAGCCACCGAGAUUAUUUCUCUCUCCAAAGAUUUUAUAUUGGUCCCUGGGCCCUUGUAUACAGAGCGGUUUGCAGCCAGUGACAUACAGCUCAACAAACUGGGGCCCACUACGUUCAGGCUGUCCAUAGAGAGUCUCCAAUCCUCAGAUCAGGGUCAGCUGUUCUGUGAGGCAAUGGAAUGGAUUCAGGAUCCAGAUGAAACCUGGAUGUUCGUCACCAAAAAGCAGACCGAUCAAACCACUCUGAGGAUCCAGCCAGCAGUGAAAGAUUUUCAAGUCAACAUUACAGCUGACAGCUUGUUUGCUGAAGGGAAACCCUUAGAACUGGUUUGCCUGGUUGUAGGCAGUGGGCGUGACCCACAGCUUCAAGGCAUUUGGUUCUUCAAUGGGACUGAAAUUGCUCACAUUGAUGCUGGUGGAGUCCUGGGCCUGAAAAAUGACUACAAAGAGAGAGCAAGUCAAGGAGAGCUCCAGGUUUCAAAGUUAAGCCCCAAGACUUUCUCUCUCAAGAUCUUCUCUCUGGGCCCAGAGGAUGAAGGCGCCUACAGAUGUGUGGUAGCAGAGGUCAUGAAAACACGCACAGGUUCCUGGCAGGUGCUUCAGAGAAAGCAGUCACCAGACAGCCAUGUGCACCUGAGGAAGCCAGCAGCAAGAAGUGUGGUCGUGUCUACCAAGAACAAGCAGCAAGCUGUGUGGGAAGGAGAGACACUCACCCUUCUCUGUAAGGCUGAUGGAGCUGAAAGUCCCCUGUCUGUGAGCUGGUGGCACAUCCCACGGGACCAGACACAGCCCGAGUUUGUGGCUGGCAUGGGGCAGGAUGGCAUUGUGCAGCUGGGUGCCUCCUAUGGGGGACCCAGUUACCAUGGCAACACAAGGCUGGAAAAAAUGGACUGGGCCACCUUCCAGCUGGAGAUCACCUUCACUGCCAUCACAGACAGUGGCGCAUAUGAGUGCAGAGUAUCUGAGAAGUCUCGGAACCAGGCCAGAGAUCUGAGCUGGACUCAGAAGAUUUCAGUUACUGUAAAGUCUCUGGAGUCAAAUUUACAAGUUAGUCUGAUGAGCCGUCAGCCGCAAGUGAUGUUAACCAACACCUUUGACCUGUCCUGUGUCGUGAGGGCCGGUUACUCUGACCUCAAGGUGCCACUCACUGUGACGUGGCAGUUCCAGCCAGCUAGCUCUCACAUCUUCCACCAGCUUAUUCGAAUCACCCACAAUGGCACUAUUGAAUGGGGGAAUUUCCUAUCCCAGUUCCAAAAGAAGACGAAAGUGUCGCAGUCUUUAUUUCAUUCACAACUCCUAGUCCAUGAUGCCACUGAGGAAGAGACAGGAGUGUAUCAGUGUGAAGUAGAAGUUUAUGACAGAAAUUCCCUAUACAACAACCGCCCCCCGAGGGCUUCUGCCAUCUCUCACCCAUUGAAGAUAGCCGUCACUUUACCAGAGAGCAAGCUAAAAGUGAAUUCAAGGAGUCAAGUCCAAGAGCUCUCCAUCAACUCCAACGCUGAUAUAGAAUGUAGCAUCUUGUCCCGGUCCAAUGGAAACCUUCAGUUAGCCAUUAUUUGGUAUUUUUCUCCUAUUUCCACUAAUGCCUCCUGGCUAAAGAUCCUGGAGAUGGACCAAACCAAUGUUAUAAAAACUGGGGAUGAGUUUCACACCCCACAGAGAAAACAAAAAUUUCAUGCUGAGAAGGUUUCCCAAGACUUAUUUCAGCUGCACAUUCUGAAUGUGGAAGACAGCGAUCGGGGCAAAUAUCACUGUGCUGUGGAGGAAUGGCUCCUGUCUACAAAUGGCACUUGGCACAAGCUUGGAGAAAAGAAGUCAGGACUAACAGAAUUGAAACUCAAGCCCACAGGAAGUAAGGUACGUGUCUCCAAAGUGUACUGGACUGAAAAUGUGACUGAGCACAGAGAAGUGGCCAUCCGCUGCAGCCUGGAGAGUGUAGGCAGCUCAGCCAAUCUGUACUCUGUGAUGUGGUACUGGAACAGAGAAAACUCUGGAAGUAAAAUGCUAGUGCACUUGCAACAUGAUGGCUUGCUGGAGUAUGGGGAAGAGGGGCUCAGGAGGCACCUGCACUGUUACCGUUCAUCCUCUACAGACUUUGUCCUGAAGCUUCAUCAGGUGGAGAUGGAGGAUGCAGGAAUGUACUGGUGUAGGGUGGCAGAGUGGCAGCUCCAUGGACACCCAAGCAAGUGGAUUAAUCAAGCAUCCGAUGAGUCACAGCGGAUGGCGCUCACGGUACUGCCUUCAGGCUCCAUUGAGACCCUGUGAACAAAGAGUUGAGGAAGAUCAAAAGACACACAAGACACAGGCCCUACCCUCAAGGAGCUCACAGUGCAGGAGAGCCCACACUUCCUUCCAGGAUCUGCUCCUCGGCCCCUUUACUCUAUUUCCUGUUCAUCUGCCCCUUCGUCCUGCUCCUGCUUCUGCUCAUCUC